AUUGAACGCUGGCCCCAAGAUUAACACAUGCAAGUCGAACGGUAACAUAAAGAAGCUUGCUUCUUUGAUGACGAGUGGCGGACGGGUGAGUAAUGCUUGGGAAUCUAGCUUAUGGAGGGGGAUAACUACGGGAAACUGUAGCUAAUACCGCGUAAUAUCGAAAGAUUAAAGUGUGGGACCUUCGGGCCACAUGCCAUAGGAUGAGCCCAAGUGGGAUUAGGUAGUUGGUGAGGUAAAGGCUCACCAAGCCGACGAUCUCUAGCUGGUCUGAGAGGAUGACCAGCCACACUGGGACUGAGACACGGCCCACACUCCUACGGGAGGCAGCAGUGGGGAAUAUUGCGCAAUGGGGGCAACCCUGACGCAGCCAUGCCGCGUGAAUGAAGAAGGCCUUCUGGUUGUAGAGUUCUUUCGGUAGCGAGGAAGGCAUUUAGUUUAAUAAACUACGUGAUUGACGUUCACUACAGAAGAAGCACCGGCUAACUCCGUGCCAGCAGCCGCGGUAAUACGGAGGGUGCGAGCGUUAAUCGGAAUAACUGGGCGUAAAGGGCACGCAGCGGUGACUUAAGUGAGGUGUGAAAGCCCCGGGCUUAACCUGGGAAUUGCAUUUCAUACUGGGUCGCUAGAGUACUUUAGGGAGGGGUAGAAUUCCACGUGUAGCGGUGAAAUGCGUAGAGAUGUGGAGGAAUACCGAAGGCGAAGGCAGCCCCUUGGGAAUGUACUGACGCUCAUGUGCGAAAGCGUGGGGAGCAAACAGGAUUAGAUACCCUGGUAGUCCACGCUGUAAACGAUGUCGAUUUGGGGGUUGAGCUUUAAGCUUGGCGCCCGUAGCUAACGUGAUAAAUCGACCGCCUGGGGAGUACGGCCGCAAGGUUAAAACUCAAAUGAAUUGACGGGGGCCCGCACAAGCGGUGGAGCAUGUGGUUUAAUUCGAUGCAACGCGAAGAACCUUACCUACUCUUGACAUCCAGAGAACAUUCCAGAGAUGGAUUGGUGCCUUCCGGAACUCUGAAACAGGUGCUGCAUGGCUGUCGUCAGCUCGUGUUGCGAAAUGUUGGGUUAAGUCCCGCAACGAGUGCAACCCCUUAUCCCUUUGUUGACCAGCGAUAGGUCGGGAACUCCAAGGAAACUGCCGGUGAUAAACCGGAGGAACGUGGGGAUGACGUCCAGUCCAUCAUGGCCCUUUACGAGUAGGGUUACACACGUGGCUACAUGGCGUAUUCAGAGGGAAAACGAGAGUGCCCACUGGAGCUGACCUCACAAAAUACGUCUAAACUCCGGAUGGGAGUUUGCGUCUCGCCUUCCUGGAGU
rnacentral:rRNA from 1 species